GAUGAACGCUGGCGGCGUGCCUAAUACAUGCAAGUCGAGCGAACGGACGAGAAGCUUGCUUCUCUGAUGUUAGCGGCGGACGGGUGAGUAACACGUGGAUAACCUACCUAUAAGACUGGGAUAACUUCGGGAAACCGGAGCUAAUACCGGAUAAUAUUUUGAACCGCAUGGUUCAAAAGUGAAAGACGGUCUUGCUGUCACUUAUAGAUGGAUCCGCGCUGCAUUAGCUAGUUGGUAAGGUAACGGCUUACCAAGGCAACGAUGCAUAGCCGACCUGAGAGGGUGAUCGGCCACACUGGAACUGAGACACGGUCCAGACUCCUACGGGAGGCAGCAGUAGGGAAUCUUCCGCAAAGGGCGAAAGCCUGACGGAGCAACGCCGCGUGAGUGAUGAAGGUCUUCGGAUCGUAAAACUCUGUUAUUGGGGAAGAACAUAUGUGUAAGUAACUGUGCACAUCUUGACGGUACCUAAUCAGAAAGCCACGGCUAACUACGUG
rnacentral:rRNA from 1 species